rnacentral:tRNA from 1 species
AAGAAAAUGACAGAGUGGUGAUGUGUCUGGCUUGAAACUAGAUGAUGGGGGUUCGAUUCCCUCUUUUCUCG